rnacentral:tRNA from 1 species
GGGUUGGUAGCUCAGUGGUAGAGCAGCGGCCUUUUAAGCCGUUGGUCGUGGGUUCAAAUCCCACCCGACCCACCA